rnacentral:rRNA from 1 species
GACGAACGCUGGCGGCGUGCCUAAUACAUGCAAGUUGAGCGAUGAAGCUUGGUGCUUGCCCCAAUUUGAAGAGCAGCGCACGGGUGAGUAACGCGUGGGGAAUCUGCCUUUGAGCGGGGGACAACAUUUGGAAACGAAUGCUAAUACCGCAUAACAGCUUUAAACAUAAGUUUUAAGUUUGAAAGAUGCAAUUGCAUCACUCAAAGAUGAUCCCGCGUUGUAUUAGCUAGUUGGUGAGGUAAAGGCUCACCAAGGCGAUGAUACAUAGCCGACCUGAGAGGGUGGUCGGCCACAUUGGGACUGAGACACGGCCCAAACUCCUACGGGAGGCAGCAGUAGGGAAUCUUCGGCAAUGGACGAAAGUCUGACCGAGCAACGCCGCGUGAGUGAAGAAGGUUGUCGGAUCGUAAAACUCUGUUGGUAGGGAAGAACGUUGGUGAGAGUGGAAAGCUCAUCAAGUGACGGUAACUACCCAGAAAGGGACGGCUAACUACGUG